rnacentral:rRNA from 1 species
GAGUUUGAUCCUGGCUCAGGAUGAACGCUGGCGGCGUGCCUAGUACAUGCAAGUCGAGCGAACGGACGAGAAGCUUGCUUCUCUGAUGUUAGCGGCGGACGGGUGAGUAACACGUGGGUAACCUACCUAUAAGACUGGGAUAACUCCGGGAAACCGGGGCUAAUACCGGAUAACACAUGAAACCGCAUGGUUUCAUGAUGAAAGACGGUCUUGCUGUCACUUAUAGAUGGAUCCGCGCUGCAUUAGCUAGUUGGUAAGGUAACGGCUUACCAAGGCAACGAUGCAUAGCCGACCUGAGAGGGUGAUCGGCCACACUGGAACUGAGACACGGUCCAGACUCCUACGGGAGGCAGCAGUAGGGAAUCUUCCGCAAUGGGCGAAAGCCUGACGGAGCAACGCCGCGUGAGUGAUGAAGGUCUUCGGAUCGUAAAACUCUGUUAUUAGGGAAGAACAUAUGUGUAAGUAACUGUGCACAUCUUGACGGUACCUAAUCAGAAAGCCACGGCUAACUACG